CGGCCUGCAGGUCGUUGUUUGGGCGCUGAAAGCGUGAGGGAUCCGGACUGAGUUGAAGACACCCAGCCCUAGGUACCAGCUGGAGAUGUUCAGUCACUUCAAGAACGCUGGAGGCGGAGAGAGUCACUUGAGGGAGUUUCCGCUGUCAUUGCCUCUGGAUGGUUUUGCGACUUUCCUCACAGGUGGAAAGACUAUGUCCAGUACACAGCAGAUGCCUGGGGCUCCUUUUGCUGUUCUCAAAGUUCCUUUGGGAAAGCAGACUCUGACUCCAGCUUCACCAAGAGUUCCCGUGACUACUUCAAACAUGAGUUCAACAAUCUCUGGGGGUCUCCAGCUCCUGCCUUCAAUCCUACCUCUGAGACCCGUGUGAUUUCUCCCUGUGUGAAGAGGGGCCAGCCCCACGUGCCCUUCUGAUGUGGCACGACAGGCAGACCGGUAAGAAUUUAUACACUUUAACAGAGAAGGAUGAAGGCCCAGGAGCCUGCCUCCCAGCUCAGCACUUCCUGAGACCUGAGUUCAAGUCUCUGUGAUCUCUCCGAGUGUAGAAAUAAACCACCUGAUUGUGGCUACAGCUGUCACAGCCAAGAAAA